rnacentral:rRNA from 1 species
AGCACUUAAGCGAGGAGAGCUCUUAGGUCAUCCUGAUGUGGAUCGUACUCGCAGAAUAAGCACGGCUACUCGAGCCAGCAGCGCGUAAUACAGAGGGUGCCGAGCUGUUAUCGGAUUAACUGGACGUAAGCGUGCGGUAGGCGGCUGAUCAAGUCGGAUGUGAAAUCCCUGAGCUUAACUUAGGAAUUGCAUUCCGAUACUGGUCAGCUAGAGUAUGGGAGAGGAUGGUAGAAUUUCCAGGUGUAGCGGUGAAAUGCGUAGAGAUCUGGAGGAAUACCGAUGGCGAAGGCAGCCAUCUGGCCUAAUACUGACGCUGAGGUACGAAAGCAUGGGGAGCAAACAGGAUUAGAUACCCUGGUAGUCCAUGCCGUAAACGAUGUCUACUAGCCGUUGGGGCCUUUGAGGCUUUAGUGGCGCAGCUAACGCGAUAAGUAGACCGCCUGGGGAGUACGGUCGCAAGACUAAAACUCAAAUGAAUUGACGGGGGCCCGCACAAGCGGUGGAGCAUGUGGUUUAAUUCGAUGCAACGCGAAGAACCUUACCUGGUCUUGACAUAGUAAGAACUUUCCAGAGAUGGAUUGGUGCCUUCGGGAACUUACAUACAGGUGCUGCAUGGCUGUCGUCAGCUCGUGUCGUGAGAUGUUGGGUUA